rnacentral:rRNA from 1 species
GUUUUUCUUUUGAAAUCUGCAGGUUAUAUGAUUUGUACAUGGCGGUGUUACUGAACAGAAGGAGGUAAUUUCUUCGCUCUUUCUAUUGAUUAAUAUUGUUCUUCACUCUUUCUAAACUAUUGAAUUUAUUAAUAUUAUUCUUGCACAAAUUAAUUAAUGAUUAUAUCAUCUUUUGGUCACUCGAGUAAGAUAGAACAUGAUGAUCCUCUCUUAAUUUGGUUUCUCCUCCGCUGAAGAAUAUAGGAAUCACCAGCAGCCCUUCUCUAGUUCCGAGGAAGUGCUCAACCUAGACGUUGUUGGCCGAAGGAGGGGCGGAGCAGGUGCCAGUCAAGUAGGCGGCUCAAUGGGUGGGAGAUGGCAGCUGCCGAUCUCACACGGCUCAUGCGCCCCGCGACCCUCCCCUCCCCGGCUAAGUAGGAGGUUCGAGGGCAGCGACUAAGGAAGGAGCACAUCGGCGAUGAGGGCUAGCAAUAGCAAGACAAUUGCCAGGUGCAGUCGAUAUGCCGCCACGUCGGCCCUUCACGCGCGCCCGCCAGGGUCGGGACCUUUUUCAGAGCAAUGCGUAGUGUUUCCUUUAUUGUUGUUGUUUGUGAUGUCCUUGAUAUUCCUUUGCCAUAUGAUUUUUGAUCAUUUUCUC